CAGCAGCCGCGCGAAUACGUAGGUGGCAAGCGUUGUCCGGAAUUAUUGGGCGUAAAGGGCUCGCAGGCGGUUUCUUAAGUCUGAUGUGAAAGCCCCCGGCUCAACCGGGGAGGGUCAUUGGAAACUGGGAAACUUGAGUGCAGAAGAGGAGAGUGGAAUUCCACGUGUAGCGGUGAAAUGCGUAGAGAUGUGGAGGAACACCAGUGGCGAAGGCGACUCUCUGGUCCGUAACUGACGCUGAGGAGCGAAAGCGUGGGGAGCGAACAGGAUUAGAUACCCCCGUAGUCCCUGUCUCUUAUAC
rnacentral:rRNA from 1 species